UCGGGAAUAUUGGACAAUGGGUGAGAGCCUGAUCCAGCCAUGCCGCGUGCAGGAAGAAGGCGUUAUGCGUUGUAAACUGCUUUUUGCCAGGGGAUAAAAAGACCGUGCGCGGUUAAUUGAAGGUACCUGGUGAAUAAGCCACGGCUAACUGCGUGCCAGCAGCCGCGGUAAUACGUAGGUGGCAAGCGUUGUCCGGAUUUAUUGGGUUUAAAGGGUGCGUAGGUGGCCCUGUAAGUCAGUGGUGAAAUAUCUCAGCUUAACUGAGAGGGUGCCAUUGAUACUGCAGGGCUUGAGUACAGAUGAGGUAGGCGGAAUUGACGGUGUAGCGGUGAAAUGCAUAGAUAUCGUCAAGAACACCGAUAGCGAAGGCAGCUUACCAAGCUGUAACUGACACUGAGGCACGAAAGUGUGGGGAUCAAACAGGAUUAGAUACCCAAGUAGUCCCUGAGCGGGCUGGCAAGGCGCAU
rnacentral:rRNA from 1 species